CAAAGCGACAACCUCUGGCAUACAGUUAUCCCAUAGGUACUGGGAAAGAUAUGGAAGAGCGAAAGAGAGACAGUGAGGAAAAGAGGCAGGUAUGAGCGUAUAAAUAAGGUCUGGUGACAGAAGAGGUAGUGCAGGAUUAAGAGAGGCUCACACACAACAAUUAGAGCUGUAUACAUGGCUGCUGGUGAUGGAUCACAGGCCAGGAGCCUUGGCCCACUUUGGGAAUUUUUCACCCUCACUCUCAUUACGUUUGCUCAGGAACUCUACUGGGGUUUGGGAGCACACAGGGAGUAAAUAGGCCAUCGCUGGAAAUUCAAUAAUGCAUGCUGGACGGUGUGCUCCUUGGCUUCAUUGGGUUAUGAGCUAGAAGGAGAUUGAGCUAUCCUGCGCACAUGAGAAGCUCGCUGGACAAAUAUUGGCCUUGCUCGACUUUGCUCCACUGAACAGGAACUUCAAAUCAAAUGAAAGAUUCCUCGACAAACAGACCGGGAAAAACGAUGGCAGGAUCCUCAGCUCUCUCCUGGAUCAUUAACGAGUCGCCUCUCCACAGUGAAAAUUUGGAAAACAAGAAACACUCGAGAUUGGGAUACAGAUCCAACACUAGCAUCUGUCUCUGUCUCCUUCACUGGAAUCUAUUUCUUUCUUUCUUUCUUUCUUUCUUUCUUUCUUUCUUUCUUUCUUUCUUUCUUUCUUUCUUUCUUUCUUUCUUUCUUUCUUUCUUUCUUUCUUUCUUUCUUUCUCACUGUCUCACUAUCUUUCUCAUUGUGUGACUCAUCUUAUAC